rnacentral:rRNA from 1 species
CUAGCGUUGCUCUGAAUCACUGGGCGUAAAGCGCACGUAGGCGGAUUGUUAAGUCAGGGGUGAAAUCCUGGAGCUCAACUCCAGAACUGCCUUUGAUACUGGCGAUCUUGAGUCCGGGAGAGGUGAGUGGAACUGCGAGUGUAGAGGUGAAAUUCGUAGAUAUUCGCAAGAACACCAGUGGCGAAGGCGGCUCACUGGCCCGGUACUGACGCUGAGGUGCGAAAGCGUGGGGAGCAAACAGG